CUUUGGUUAACCUUCCCCCACACUUAAACUAAAUAACACAAACUCACAGAAAUCAAACAAAUAACACAACUAACUAAACAAGACAAAAUGAAAGCAUUAAAGAUAAGGGUGUAAAAAUGCAAAUCUGAUUGGGUUAGCGAUUCCAAAGUCUCCCUUCGUUGAAUGCUUGGGUUGCCUCCCAAGAAGCGCUUGAUUUAACGUCUUUUAGCCGGACGCAUCUUUCCUUUAAAUUUCCCUCGGCUCCAUUUGAACCUAAAAUCAAAGAAAGAAAAAUAAAUCAAAUAUCAAAAGUAAAAUACACAAACACCAAUAUAAACAUAAACAAAAACAAAAAUAAAAGGAUUAGCAAAGUUACUAAUCCCCGGCAACGGCGCCAAAAUUUGGUGCGAGAAUUACUUGACACACAAAUUAAACCCUCUUUUUGACAAUUGUAGUAUAGAUGUAAGUAGGGUAUCGUUCUAGGCCGGGGAUUAGGAGGGAUUGCUAAUCUAUUCUAAAUUAAUUUAAAAAUAUUAAAUAAGACUCAAGGACACAAAAUUAGGCUAAAAACUCUAAUAACUCGAAACACACUUAAAAUGACUCAAAAUAAUGAAAACAAUUAAAUUAAACACUAGGAACUGAAAUGGACGGAAAAUUAAAUUAAAAGACUAACAAUAAAGAAAACUAACUAAAUAAUAUAAUUUAAUAAUGGAUGGGUGUUUGGUUUUGAUGAAAAGUAAAUUAAACUUAAUUAAAUUACAGAAUUGAUAAAAACAUAAAAUUAAGGUAAAAUGAUAAAUGACGGACUAGCUAGAGGGUUCUUCUCCACACAUGACACAUAUGCAACCUAAAUUGAUUUUCAGUUGUUCUUUCAAUAAAUUGUGAAUCUCAAUACUCCAGAUUAACCGUGAACAACACUUUUUUAAUCUUCAAGUUUUCCUUAAGUUAUUGAAUUGGACGGAAAAACGCAUACAACAAUUCAAAACAUUCUUCAAAAGUCCCCUACGUGAAAAGCACAAUAGAGAUACAAUCAAAGAUCAUUAAACUUUGUGAAAACUAUAAACAUUGACGAGGCAUUCGUAACUAUGAAAAGCAUGAUACUCUUGCCAAGAAUUUACUUAACGUGAUUGUGACU
rnacentral:lncRNA from 1 species